ensembl:snoRNA
CCCAAGACUAGGGUCAUAUCCUGACAUGGGUACUUGUCCUGGUGUGCUAGAGUUCUCCGAGAGGAUCUGCUGGUCUUGGUUCACCCGUGGGGGCCGUCAGUGCCCCUGUUGGCAUUCAGAUCAGAAACAUGU